ensembl:snRNA U6 U6 spliceosomal RNA
GUGCUUUCUCUGGCAGCACAUAUCCUAAAGUUGAAACAAUACAGAGCAGUUAGCAUGGCUCCUGUGACAAUACGAUGUGCACAUUCUUGAGACACUCCAUAUUUGC